rnacentral:rRNA from 1 species
GAUGAACGCUGACAGAAUGCUUAACACAUGCAAGUCUACCAAGAAUCACUUCGGUGAGGAAUGGUGGCGGACGGGUGAGUAACGCGUAAAUAAUCUGCCCUUUAGACUGGGAUAUCCUUCGGAAACGAAGGUUAAUACCGGAUAUUAUGAGAUGGACGCAUGUUCAACUUAUGAAAGCUAAAUGCACUAGAGGAGGAGUUUGCGUCCCAUUAGCUAGUUGGUGAGGUAAAGGCUCACCAAGGCCACGAUGGGUAGCCGGCCUGAGAGGGCGAACGGCCACAAGGGAACUGAGACACGGUCCUUACUCCUACGGGAGGCAGCAGUGGGGAAUAUUGGAUAAUGGACCAAAAGUCUGAUCCAGCAAUUCUGUGUGCACGAUGAAGGUCUUCGGAUUGUAAAGUGCUUUCAGUAGGGAAGAAAAAAAUGACGGUACCUACAGAAGAAGCGACGGCUAAAUAUGUGCCAGCAGCCGCAGUAAGAC